UAGGGAAUCUUCGGCAAUGGACGAAAGUCUGACCGAGCAACGCCGCGUGAGUGAAGAAGGUUUUCGGAUCGUAAAACUCUGUUGUUAGAGAAGAACAAGGACGUUAGUAACUGAACGUCCCCUGACGGUAUCUAACCAGAAAGCCACGGCUAACUACGUGCCAGCAGCCGCGGUAAUACGUAGGUGGCAAGCGUUGUCCGGAUUUAUUGGGCGUAAAGCGAGCGCAGGCGGUUUCUUAAGUCUGAUGUGAAAGCCCCCGGCUCAACCGGGGAGGGUCAUUGGAAACUGGGAGACUUGAGUGCAAAAGAGGAGAGUGGAAUUCCAUGUGUAGCGGUGAAAUGCGUAGAUAUAUGGAGGAACACUAGUGGCCAAGGCGGCUCUCUGGUCUGUAACUGACGCUGAGGCUCGAAAGCGUGGGGAGCAAACAGG
rnacentral:rRNA from 1 species